rnacentral:lncRNA from 1 species
UUGGUUACGUAGAGCCACGUUAGCUAAUUGGUUGAAUCCUAUAAGUGACAGCACAAUGAACACCGGGAUCAUCCUGGCUGCUUUGAGUCAAAUUGCCCAGGGAGUCUCUUCACCCAGCGAGGACAUGUCAGUCGAUAGUUCUGCUGAUCUGAACAUUACAACACUAAUUGUGAUGCAUAAUUGUAGUGUUCCAUCACGCCCAGGACAAGGUAACUAUGCACAGAAUAGCUCUACCCGUCGUAGAGUCUUACCCGCUUGCCCCCCGCAUCAAGAGUUUCCACCUAAUUUUACCCCAUGUCAGAGUCCAUUCCAUAGAACAAAACAAUUCCUACCGGGAUUUGAAUUUUCCCCUCCUCUUGGCCAUGUACAGUAUGACUGGGGGGAGAAUAAGACUGGCAAGCAUAAUCUCUGGCCUUGGUUUCAGUGGGUGCUGUCCAAUGAGCAAGGGGCAUAUACAUCCCUGACCCCCUUUGCUAGGUUGAUGGGUGAGAACUUCACGCUGUAUAAUGUUUCGGCUACCAGAAAAAAUGAUACCAGGUUGACCAAUAUUCAAUAUAAUAACCUUUUGGAACAUAAUACUGCCACUAGUACUUCAGUAUGUGUUAGAUCACCUUUUUUCUUUCUGAUAAGCACUAAUGUCAACAAUGGUGUUUUAAAUUGUAAUAGCUCUGAUGUAGUCUGCUAUUUAGCUGAAUGCUGGGAUGGCAACAAUGACACCGCAGUGAUGGUUAAGAUUCCCUCCUUUGUGCCAAUCCCAGUGGAGGCAAACCCAGAUAGUUUUCCUAUUCUCAAUUUGCUGAGAACCAAAAGAGAUUUUGGAAUUACGGCAGCCAUAAUUUCAGCCAUCGUGCUGUCUGCUGCCGCAGCUACCACAGCUGCAAUUGCUAUGACCAAUCAAAUACAGACGGCUGAGACUGUCAAUCAGAUUGUAGAAAGAACUGCAAUGGCACUAGAGAUACAAGAAGAAUUUAAUACUCAUUUGGCAUCUGGCCUUCUAUUAGCCAAUCAAAGGAUAGAUUUAGUUCAAGAACAAAUUGAAGCACUGUAUCAUAUGACACAGCUGUCUUGCGUUUCCUCCCUAAGAGGUUUAUGCAUUACUCCUUUACAAGCCAACUUUUCUCAGCAUUCUCAACAGAGCAAAGAAAUCUCAAAUUAUCUGAAAGGAAACUGGUCCAUGAAAGCAGAGCAACUAUCCAGACAAUUGCUGAUGCAGAUUGCUGUCCUCAACAGCACUAGGCUGGACCCCAUCACAAUUGAAGACUUUACCUCAUGGAUUACCAAUGCUUUCUCCUUUUUUAAGGAGUGGGCGGGCAUGUUUGCCUGGGGAGCUAUUGUCCUCCUGGGAUGCGGAGUAUGUCUCUGGCUUAUUGGCCGUUUAAAAAGAGAACAUGCCAGACACAAAGCGGUUGUUUACCAGGCUAUGACUGCCAUUGACAAUGGUGCUUCUCCCAAUGUAUGGCUGGCCUCUUUGAAAGAUUAAGA